GUAGGGCUGCCUGCAAGCCAUGCUUUGCAUCUUCCCUCUUUAUCCAUUUUUUUUUUCCCUUUUAAAUUAUUCCAAAUAUGUUACAGAUUGUAUCCUGAUCCCUAAAAAAUACCACGUGGCCAUCUUUGUUUUUAGUGUGCGUGUAUGUGUGCUGGUCAAAAGCAGUGGCAGAACACAUUGUUAUGAAUUGGCAAUGUAGCUGAGAUUGGGUGACCUUGGAAAAGAUACUUGAAUUAUAUUGAUGGCCUCCUCGAUCUUGGGGGAGUUUUAAUUCACAUAUAAAAUUUCAGCCAGAGAAAAUUAGACGGAGAUUUGUUUUGGAGCUAAUGAGAGAAUAUAUGGCCAAGAAAAGGAGUUGCCUUCUCCUUCAUUACUCAUGUAAUGCAGGAAAGUAACUUUUUCCUAGCAGUGGAAUUUAAAUAUUAACAUGUCCAAAAUCAACAUACUUUUUUUUUUCUAUUUCUUUCUUUUUAAAAUACGUUCAUUUAAACUUAGAGUGUAUAAAAGACAUUCUGUCAUAUUCAAGACAUUGAUUUCUUUUAUAGAAAUUGAGAGGCAGCAGUUUCACGUGUCCUUCAGAACCCUAAAUCAGUUCUUAAUUUCUACUCCUUUUCUUGCUUUGCUACGCAACCUGUGCUUAUUAGCAAAAAAGCCCAAAGGCUUAUCCUGCUUGUGCCUGCACCGUGAGGGCUGCCCGCGCUCAGUGGACAGGUCAGGCUGCGUGAGCUGCCAGUCAGGGAGCUCAAGCUGUUCCCGUUAGAAGAUGCAGCUUUAUUUCUGAGAUUAAUCUUAAUUCUUCAUCUCUAAUAGCAUUUUCUGGUGUGAAAUCCUGGCUUUAGUGACAGUCAGCAGGACUCUGAGGACAUCCAAUCUUCUGAACUGUUAUUUAAGAAGCACAUCAUUAUUCUGCCGUACUGCAGUACUUUUGCUUGCAAAUAGAUGUUACAUCAUAUGCUGUUUGAGUAGUACAUUUCUGCCUGUGAAAUGUAAAAAGGAGCAGAUAUCUUAAAAGAACAUUGCCAAUAAAACUCUAAAAUCAAGAACAGCUAAAGGUGAAGCUCGCACUGGUACUUAUAUCUUGUUUGUCUGUACUGAAUUAGCUAGCUGACCUUUCCUAAGCAUUAUAAUGUCCAAGUGAUUGAAGUGCCAGAACUCAAAUUUUAUUUCUCCUUGUAGGACAUCUGACCUCUGUCUGGAUGUGUAGGUUUCCUUUACAUUGUGUUUCCAAGAUCAGGUACUUUUAUAGGUACAUGGCUUCUGUAUUACUAUAUAGGGGAAUGGAGAAAAUGUAUUCGAGGUCACUCAGAAAUGAAUUCAUUAAUAGACUGCAAUGCAUGGAGCUCACUGUAGUACAUGACAUUGCUUCACUCUAUGCCAUCACAGCGCUCUUCCUUCUCCACAGUCAAUACUGGAACAAACUUCAUAGAAUCAUUUGAGUUGAAAGACACCUUUAAAGGCCAUCUGGUCCAACUCCUCUGUAGUGAACAGGGACACCUAGAGCUUGGCAGGUUGCUCAUAGCCCCAUCCAACCUGACCUUGCAUGUCUCCAAGGAUGGAGCAUCCACCACCUCUCUGGGCAACCUAUUCCAGUGCCUCUAAGUUAAAGAAGUAAAUCAACUCAGGUUCCAGAGUCUAAAACUUUGACUUUUGGCUGCCCUUCCCUGUAAUGGGACUAACAAAUGACAAUCUUCAUACUGUUACCACUGACAUUAAGGAAAAUUUACACUGCCUUCCACUCAUCUGUCAUUUGGAAAAACUGAGGACGCUUUGGGUGACGUGCUCUGGGAAGAUUCCUUCUUUACCAAACAAUCAAAAAUGUUCCCAAUUCUUUUCCAGAUGUUGAUGGAUUUUUUUAAAGUAUUUUAUGGGGAAAAUAAAUACAAUUAAAUGAAAGCUGCAUUUAAUUAAACAGCUAUUUUUAAAUCCCAGUUCUCCCAUUUUAAUGAGAAGCAGCCUGUAAAAUAUUUUGGAUAAAUAUUUUGAACAAAUAUUUUCUUUAGGAUGUGGAAUUGCUAAGUAGUUUUAUUGUCUACAUGAAUACUUGGGUACCAGCAUUUCCUCUUUGGGAUCCUUAUUUUCAUAUUUAAAACAGCUCAGGGGUUUCCAUGGGCUAUGGGGUCUAUCAUGAAAUGCGCUGUAUGGUCUGGGCUUUACUCUGCACAAGCUGGCAGACAGAUUGCAAAUAGAAAAAAAAUAAUCUAUAUUUGGCAGAGAAGAUUUUAGCUGUUGAAGUGAAUUCCACUAACCUGUUGUGACAUUUUGAUUUCUGUUUUUGUUUUAUGUUCUGCACGAAUGUGUAAGUUUCCAAUAUACCCAGGAUGUGGAGUAGAGCAUGGGUGAUUGCGCCUUACCUCUCUGGGAUGGACAGGUGUUGAUGAGAAGGCAUUAUAUCAUAUCACUGGUAUGAUAGGGAAAAAGAAAAUUGAAUGGGAAUUGUUCCCCAGGUCAGGGGCACCCUUGGGAAGACGUCUGCACAUUGAAAAGCCAUGCCCCUACCUUUCCCUCAAGAGAAAAAUAAAUAGUGGUAGCUCAACAUGGCAAUUUCUACUACAUUUGUAUUUAAUGCUUUCUCUUCUGAGCUCUCUUUACUUAGCUAGAAAGCAUUCUUCUCUUCUUGGGCUGUAAUUAUGAAUGUGUUUUGUAGGUUUUCUCAAAUGAAAAAUAAUACUUGUACUUAAAGUUUAUAUCUGCAGAAAAUAUUUCAAGGUAUUAGUUAAAAAAAUACAGGUUCUUAGCUGUAAUGAGCACUGCAAUGCAGCGAGGGCUUGGGGAAGGUGGCAUUAAGCCAUAAUGUACAACAGACAUGGAUCAUUUUACUGCUCUUUGACCUGGUGAAUGAGCUGGGAGAAGUGCCCUUUGUAGAGCCUGCGUUAAGCCUCAGAGCUGUCCUCACGAGUUAUGCUGCAAUAAAGUGCUAACUGGGCACAGACUCAGAGCGAGGCAGUUGUGGGUUUACAGAUGCGGCAGCACUAAAGUCAGUGUAGUUUGAGGUCUGUGUAGGGUGUGAGAGAGCACACCCUAUUGCCUUGAGAAGCUAGGAAAAGUGCAUGGGAAUUUUGGAAGAGGGCCCUCUGUGUUUUGUUAGACAAAUUGCUCAAGCAGUGAGUAUUAAUUUCAUUGUGCCCCUAACAAGCUUGCACCCAGACAAUAUUUUCCCAAUUGCAGUGGUGUGUCUCUUCUGAGUGCCCAAAGCCCGUUGUGCUGCCCUAGGAGCCUGGCUCAGCCUGGGGCUGCUCUGAGCAUGCAACGACAAACCUCAGUGUCCUUAGGACAACUCUCACUCAUCACAGAUCAAAGUGGAGGCUGGGAGAAGAGGAGAACUGGAGCAGCACUCUCCUCCCCAUGCAGUACCAGGGCAUGUUCUGAGCUUUGCCCUUGUUUAUAGUUGAUGUAACAGCAAGAAGACAAGGUGCCAUUAGCUUUUGGUUGAAAGGUCAUUCUGAAGUUAUUUUCCUUCAAUUUGAAGUACUUCAACCAUAGAAAAGCAAAAUAAAAUUUAAACAUCUGCUCUAAGCAACUCCCCUCCCAUGACUGUAUCACAGAGAAUGAAGUUAAACAUUGAAUAAUUAUUGCAAAAUUUCUCAGACUGCUUUUCAGUCACUGGUGUCAAUGCUCUGUGUGAAUGAGAAUGAAUUCUUCAGAAGUUUAGGAAAGUGCUACAAUCAUAGGAGCUGUGGUCUUCAAAGCAUUGGCAGCCCAGGUCUGUACAUUGUCCAUUGCCGUUACAGAAAGCAGGACAGCGGAGAAUGGUAAGAGGAAAAUGAUUGUGAAACCGAUCCAUGCUGGGGCCGGGAGGAAGAGUGCUGUAUCCGGAUAAGUAACCUUAGUACUCUGAUCCACAAUUAAAUGUUAACAGUUAAUUUUGAAAAGCACAUUACAUGGAUGGAAACAUCUCAUUGCAAUGAUUUCUAAAUAUCUUCAUUUUUUUAAAUCACUCCUGGCUGAGAAUAAUUGGUUCAGCCAAGUAAUGCCCAUUGCUUUUCUUUCUGAUUUUUUUUUUUGGUCCUUUAUACUCUCUUCCAAACCAAACCUAUUAAUACCAGUGAGAGGUGAAUAACUUAUGUUUGUAUUUCUAUGUUGGAACCCAGAUUUACAUCUUGGUUGAAAUAAAUAACAAUCUUGUCCAUUUUAGAUUCUCUGCCCUCAUUUCAACCAGAAGAACACUUUUGUGGAGCUUGAGACCUUGGCUGUAUGUUUUCCUUUCUAAGGGAGCUUAAAAAGCCUAUUGUUUUAAUACAUAGAGCAGAACAACUGCAGUUAACAUAGUGUUGGGCAGAAUUUUGUUUCCUCCUUUAGAAAAACCUUUGAGUUAUGUGCUUUCCUACUGGGAUGAGCAUCUCCCACAAGGCCGUCUAUGAAAUCCUUAAGGUCAAAACUGCUGUUUCAACCUUCUGUGCUGCAUGAAUGGGUAUUUCCAGGUGGAUUUAUUUUCAGAAGUCCAUAACCCUUCCUUUCCUGCUGCCCUUGGGCAAGGCAAGCCAUCUGCCAGGAGGAGCUGACCGCAGCCCACGUUUUCUUAAACCACCUGGAUUUAAAACUGCUGGCAGGAACUCUCAAGAAGAUUUUUUUGAGACCUCAGCUUAAAGAGAAGAAGGUGAUGGGCUACUGAAAACCGGUGCAGAAAGGAGUAAUGCUGAGCAAAUGGAGAUGCGCUGCUCAUAGUGGUAACUCAGGGACUAUAUUUGUUGUCUACAAUUCCAUUCAGAUCAGGGCAGCAUUCCUAUUCACAUACCAGAGGUGUCCUAAUUUAUUUUAAACACAAAGGAAAUCACUGAGACUUACAUGAGGUACAAAUGAGUAUAGGGUUUCUUGCUAAGAUUAUUCUAGUAAUAAAACAGUAACUGUAUUGCAUUCAGUUGCAAAAUGAAAUGACAGCCUGCUUUCCGCUUUUCCUCUAUUCUGUAAUUAACAGACUUUCCAUUACUACCUCAUCAAGAUCUUUUCCAAGUGAGAUUGCAAGGACAGCCAAACACAGGCACUCCCUGGCAGUGUUCUGGCUCUGCUGUGGACCUAUCUUCACCCAAAAUGUCUCCUGGCAAUAAAUCUUGAUGACAAAGUUGAGGAUAAAAUUAUCUUCCUGGUGGUAAUUUCCCCCCUCUCCUCCCCACCAAACCCCUUGAUACAGCCCACUCUUAUUCUUCCAGCGAUUUCACUGGAUUAGUGUGGAGAAAUUCAUACAAAAUUUGUUAUGGUCAGAUAAGGUUUUUAGGCAAAUACUUUAUAGCAAAUGUUGCACAUUUGCUGCUCAUUUUCAUGGCUUUUGAGUGCUGUCUGUAUCUGGCUAACAUUGCUUUGCUCUUAAUCUAGGACUGCAUUGUUUUACCUGUGAUUCUUACUUCAAUAUCUAUAUUGUGAAGCUCUGCAACAAAAUUUGGAUUAUGGGUUCAGCAGUACCUAGCAUGAGCGAACCAAGAGCAGCUUGGACGUUAGGAUUUUGACCUGUGGCGAUGCCUCAGUACUUUGGACGUUGAGCUGCGGCCUGCUGUCCCGAAAGUGCCCACUGCAGGCGUCCAGGCGGACGACGUCGCUCCCCUCCCGUGCAGCCACCCCACAGUUGCAGGCAGUGGCAGAGCGGUGUCCCCCGCAGUCCCACUGACGGACGUGCACUUCGAAUGCCCGCGACGUGCUCUGGCACAAAAGGAAGGUGCCGAUUUUAUAGUUAUCGUAACGCCUAAAUGAGGAGAAACAAAGCCAGGGUUGAGAGACCCAUCGCAUCCACAUGGAGCACCAUAGCUGCCUUGGAAGGGCCUGGACAUGGAAGCAUCUCUCCAGUACCAUGAGGAAGUUGACGCAAUCGCUGUUAUUAGUUGGGAGUGCAGAAGAAUUCUUGAGAAAACCUGGUUGCUGUCUGUGAGCUGCUGCUAUGGCAACAGAAUGAAAGCCAUAGAAAAAUGUGUACCUGAAAACGCAGCAAGAAUUUAAACUCCAACUGCUUUUCUCUGCAAGAAGCCACAUUUGACAUUAUACUUCAUCUUGAAAAACUUAGUGAAGUUGGCCGUAAAAUGAUAUGAUAUUGAAUGGUUUUGCCUCAUCUUAUUUUCUAAUCAGGUACAUAAAUCCUAAGUAUGCUGUGCAGAUGCUUCUGCUAAGACUGAUUAGAAUUAAGGACAACAUAAAAAAUAAUCUUGUAAGAUCAAGUGCAUUUGGACCUCUACACUGGAAAGACUGAGAAGCCAGAAAUUUAGCAAGAAUCACCUUUCUCAGUUUCCUUUGACAGACAUUUCAACAGGAAGAGCCUGAAAGGAAGAUACUUAGAGAGGCUGAUGGAAAGUAAUGCAUUGAAAUGGCUGCAUCCAGAUUAAUCAGAUAUAUCUGGUAAAUAAGACUGUAUUAGCAUAUACAUUCCAGCAAUGGGAGUUAUUUACUGCUUAAUAAGCGCUGACAGUGGACCCAGUCCAACACUAUUGGAAGUCACUUACAGUCCUUCAGUUAAGUCAUGACAGAUUGCACAGCAUAUAACAAACUUGCAAUGUAUCUAAAUUGGAGCUUACAGCUGCCUUUGAAUUACACAAAUGGAUAAUUGAAUGUAAUCAGGACUCCACAGAGAGAGGAUGGAAGAGGCGCCAAAGAGGCAACUGACGGCCAUCCUGCCACAGCAGCAGAGCCGGUGCUAAUAUUACUGGAAUGAAAGUCUUAUCUUUAAGGACCCAUGCCCAGGAAAUGAAGAUGAGUUGUUCUUGUGACAAAGAAAGAGAGAUGAAUCUAUGCUUCUGGAAAACAUUUAUCUUUCACUAGUUUAUUAUAACAAGGUGCGAUUGUUGCUUGGAGUUUUCAAGGCUAUCCCACCACAUGGCAGCCUGCAUUCUCAGCUGACUCCAUAUCAUAGAAAAUCUGUUCCCAUGAGCUCAGCAAAUGUUUGCAUGGUGGACUGGCAUAGACUGUAAGCCAAGAGCAAUAUGGGGAACGGAGCAGCACUGAGCCAUGAAGAAACUCAAAGUACUCCAUGUACGAGAGCCAACACAGCUGCUGGAACCAUAAGGAUUCAUCUAUGCAAGCUUGAGUGUGCAGUGAGAGUAUCCUCCCUGAUAGCAUCCCAGGGCAGUGACACUUGUUCCCAAAAUGAGGAGAGCUGCCAGAUUGGAGUACUGGGAGUGGAUGGAAGCACGUUUCUGACCCAGACAUCCAGUCCUGUGAGAGGUGGGGGAACUGAUGCUGCUCAGAUGUAAAUGUAAUGAGCGAGGAGCAGCCCUAAAAUGCACCCAGAGGAGCUUUCAGAUGGGAUUUGACCCCGCUGAGUGCCGGACCACGCGUUGCUGCAUUACUGUGUCUCCCAGCUGGAGGUGUCCGCUGCUUAUGUCCAGGUUGCAGUGAAAUCUAUGCCUUUUUACCCCUGUGUAAACAAGAGGAAGGAAGAACUUCUUUGUGCCAAGAUUGAGAUUUUGUGGUUGUAACCUCCCAUGUGCCCACCCAUCAUGAGAUGUUUCUCCUCCUGCAAUUGUCUCUUAGUCAGAGGUUUUUGCUCAAAUUAAAUGGAAAACCAAAUUAAACAAUGAUUUAAUUAAGUGGAAGAGAUGGAAUGUAGAGGCAGACUUAGAAGGUGAAGAUCUGAAAGAAGCAUAUUCUUCCAAUCGUGACAUCUAACAGAUGUAAUCCUUCAACAGCAAAACAGAGAUUUACUGUCAUUUUGGAGGAUAAUGAAGAAACCAAUGGCGUGUUGUUGAUCAUGAACCGGUACCAUGCUGGUGGCAGCGAGUGGUCACACACCAGGUCCUGAGCAGACGUUCGCUGCAGCUCCAGCGAGUCAAACCUGGUGCUGCGGUAUGGGCUGCGGAGAAUGCGAUGUCCAGCUGGAGAGCACUCGGGAGCUGAAAGGACAGUGAGCUAUGCACUGCUCCAUAGGAGUAUGUGGAUAGAGGCAGCCAAGCAUCUCCUACCUGAGGACUGAAAAGAUGUUAAGAAUGGCUGACAAAGGAGGUGACAACAAGAAGUCCCUGCAAGAAAGAAGCAGUGCAUCAUGGAAAAUGGCUCUUCAUUGGCUAUCAAAGCUGAAUUGCUCCAGAGUGAUUCUGCAGCUGAUCGUGUUUGGCAUGUUUCAGUCUCAGCAGUCCAAAAGCCAGCCUUUCAUCAACAGAAGCAUGCACUACAAGGCUUAUCGUCUCUCACUCAAAGCACGUUGUGAACAGGUGUAUAUUUCCUUCUGACAAACACCAGAAGAACCAGCUCUUAUGCCUGCCAAGUUACUUAAUCUGCAUGCUGAGAUUUGCCAAGGAUCAGGAAGAAAUGAGAAGUUGUUCCUUGUUGCUACAAUUGGAGAUGAAGCAAGAAACACUUUCCUACCCUUCUCCCUUGGAAAAAGGGCACUGGGAGAGAGACAGUGUCCAAGCUGCUGUGCUGCCUGGGAGCUGGAAAUAGCAGAUGUUAGCAGGCCAGAAGGGAUGAAAGCAAAGUCCUAGGAUGGUGAUGCAUGGCACAACAGCACCAAAACAUCACACAGAAGACCAUGUCACAAUUAUUAAUGCAAGAGGAACGACUCUUAUUUGUAUGAGAGAGAACGUACAAUUGCAGGUGCAGAGUAAUUCUAGCUGGAGGCUCGUUUUUUUUUUUUUAAUCCAAGCCUUUUGUAUAAUGCAGCAGUGCGUGCACAGCAAGGGGUACACUCUCAUGAUGAAAUUACACGUUCAACAAGCUAUGCCUCACAGUCAUGGAAUACGGUGGGCAUGCAACAGGGAGAGAGACUUCCUUCUGAUACACCUUCGUGAAAUGGAUUUGAAAUAAGUUUGAAAAUUUGAAAUAAGUUUUGAUCUGUAUCUGUACACCAGAUAUCUGUGAUAAUAUCAAUGUAUUUCCCCUUAAUGCCUACUUUUUCCCCAGUGCUGCAUCCCAGCCCUCAUUUUAUUCACUACCUUACUUCACUGGCAGCCCUAAAAGAAAUCAGAACAAGGCAGGAAGCUCACAUGUUGCUUUACAGUUUUGCUUGGGUCUCAAAUGGACCACGUGACACUGAUAAGCUGUCUAGAUCUUUAUUUCCCAUUUUCCUUAAUUAUGGCCAAAAUCACAUUGAUAAAAUCUUCCAGAUGCCUUAUCCAAGCUUCAGAAAUAAAUAACUCGUUGGGUUCACUUUUGAACUCACUCACAAAACAGAUCACUAGGGGUCACCAGAAAGAAGAAAAUAUUGUAUUUAAUCUGGAAUGCUUAGAAGUCCACUCACUGCUUUUCAGCUAAUCUUCUGUAGGGGAUAAUUUAGUUUUCAAAAACCAAGACAAAUUAUUUUUCUACAGACAGCAGGUAUUUCCUCCUAAUGAAAAUGGUAUUAUAGCAUGCCCAUGGUAAAAGAAGAGGAAAAAAAGGCUGUGUGCAAUUUCCCUUACAUAAUUGUAUGGUGAAAAAACACUCUGAUGUGAAAUUUUACUCCAAACUCAAAUGAGACACUCUCUGUUCUGUUUUACCACCCUGUGACAGCAUAGUUUCUAAUAUGGCCCUUUGAAUUUUAAUUUGUUUUAGAUGGGCUUCAACAAAGCAGUAAUGAUUUGGGAGGUGUAAUGCAAUGGAAUGCACAAUGACAGCAGAGUAGCAAGAUCCGAGACAGCAGCAAGUGAAAAUUCACUCAAACACAACAGCAGUGGACAAAGAAACAAUAGAAAGAAGGUGCUUACCUUCAAAAGGCCUCAGGUAUGCAGAACUCUCCAGCAAGAUACCUUUGCAUCCACUGCCAACCCUUCAAUGAGAUGAGGGAAGGAGUAGAUCCUGGCUCUAGUCUUUCCAGUCACUCAGGUACAUUGCAUGCACCUGAGCUCCACUGGGUUGGCCCUGCCUUCCAACCAGGUGCUUAAUCACUACUUCAAGCUGUGACUCAGCAUUUCCAGUACAGGGGGAUUUCUCCAAGGGUAAACAAAGGGACAGGCUGCUCAGGUAAAAAGGAUGUUUUGCUACACUUUGGUAAAAUUAAUAAAGAUCUGUCCAGAGGGGCUGUGGAUGCUCCAUCCAUGGGGGUGCUCAAGGCCAGGUUGGAUGGGCCCUGAGCUGCUUGCGGACACCCAGCCCACAGCAGUGGGUUGGAGCUUGAUGAUCUUUAAGGACCCUUCCAACCUAAGCCAUUCCAUGAUUCUCUGAUUCUAUAAGAUAGCACAGGUGGAGUUCAGUGGGCAUUCAAGGCAAUGAUUGGCUCAGCGCUAUUUUCUUGCUCCCUGCCCUGUUUUAUUCCUUCUCAGAGCUGCACAAAGGCAAAGCUUCUCCGUGAGUCUUGGAUGCCAUUGGCCAGUUUGUCUAAUGAAAACUGAGAAUAAGCUAAGAAGGACCUCUUUUACCCAGAUUCAUCUACUUUUCUGCAGUGGUUUGAAGCCUAUCGCAGCAGAAGCAGGAGGGCUUGAGAGCAGAGACUUCUUGUGCCCAGCAGAGCUGUUGGGUUUCUUUUCCUGGUGGUGCACAGAAAUGCACCUCCUUCUGUGCUUUGUCUUCUCCUCCUGUCUAAAUAAAACUGAUAUUGUUCUUCUCCUUUCCCACUAUUUUUUAUAGUUAAUGAAAAAGCCCACGAAAUACAACUACCCCUCAUGCUGCUGUUGCUUUUAUAUAGUGCCUUUUCCCUGCAUGGAUGCCAGAAUGCACUCUUAAAAUCAAACUAUAUGAAACAAUAAUUUCUACCAGAAUGGAAAAACAUGGCAGCAGAUAGCAGUGCACUUUAGCUCCUGAUAACACUUUGGGAAAUUAAGGUAGCUUUAAGGAGCAGGAAUAAUCCCAAGACCUCAAAGAGGUUAAAUGCAACAGUUCAUGCAACAAAAAGCAUAACAAUUCACAACCCUUUAUAUACAGAAUUUACUCAAAAGCUCCCCAUUUAUCUGCCUGCUGUGUGCCAACAGAUACCUUCUACCCCCACCUCUGGAGCUUUAAACCGAGUUUCCUGUAUUGUGGGCUCUUCCCUUCCAUGAGAUUGUGAUUUUUAUGAAAAACAAAUUAAGUUGUGUUUAUCUUAAUGCAAAAUACCCAUUUUCCUCAUGCUCUGUGUUAAGCACAAAGCAACAGGGUAUGCAGGUUACUCUGUGCCUUUUAUUUUCCAGAAAAGGACUUUUUCAUUAAAAAAAGGUUGACAAUCCAUGCGUUAGAACAAUUGCUUCAUAAGCACAAGUAGGCAUAAAUCACUUCUUUCUGCAGUCAGAUAUCAUUGAAAUAUGACAGUACUGAAAUUUAAUACACUUUUUAUUUAUUUUUUUCAUUCUUUAAAAAAAGAUGUACAUAUGGGCUAGGUCUGAUGGAGAACUUUAAGGGCUGAUUAUUUAAAAAGCUGUUAACAAAAAUGGUCAUAGAAAUGUGCAAGUUUUAAGAGCACCUGGGCUUUCUGUUGUUACAGGUUUCAUCUUUUGAAGGGAGGUUUGUGUGCAUGGGUGGUUGGUUUUGACCAAAACCACAUAUUGAUCAACUGAAUGGUCGGUCUAUCUGCCUGUACUGAAACGGAAAUUUUGGUAUAAAUAGCAAUUGUACAUAAGAGUACAGUUAUACUUAGAGAAUGAGUGGACCGAUGGUCCAUUGAACUUAUUUACACCUUUACAGUAGACAAAGACAUGGAAGAAUGACGCCGAAGCCCUCGUUCUAAGAAGUAUUUAAUUACUAAUGGAAAGUGAAACAGUUCAAAUAAGAGACCUACAGAUAUUCUCCCCUGGCAUAAUCGAUAGCCUAGUUCUGAGGGCACUUGCCUGUGACAGAAGUGAUUGAUUCAGCUCCUAUACACUAAAAUGCAACAUCUUUCCUGUCAGGAGUGAUUAAAAAACAUCAGGCCGUUGGUUAGCGCGCUGGGGUUCUCUCCGUUUUGUCUCAGUGGAAAAGUAAAUUCUUAAAUUGCUUUCAAUUGUUAAAGCAAUCAGAUAGAAAAAAAACUUCCUGCGUGGAUCAACAGCAGUUACCCAACCUGAGGUUGGUUAUCUCCGGGAAGUCCCACAGUUUGUAAAGUGCUAUGCAGAUGAUCACAGUGCAGAUUUGGGCUGUACCAGCUGUGAGCUGGGGAGGAUAUUCAGCAGCAAAAAUCCAGUUUAAUGGCUGGAUUUGUGAGGGGUAUUUAUGGUGACCUUCAUCAUUUUCCUUGCAGCAUUUCUACAGCACUAAUUUUAGCAAUAAUCACAUGAAACACUGAUAACAGCAGUGCCCACAGUGAUGUUGUCUCUGCUUAUGUAUACCCAUAACCAUCUGUCCUACCUUUUUUCAGCAUUGCCACGUUUUCGUUUUAUGUUCACUUUAGCCGCAUUGCAAGUAACAUAAGUAUUAGCAUAUGUUAAGAUUGAGGAAGGCACAGCUUAUCCCUGUGUGCUGGCCAGCUGCAGGGUUUUAAAUCUGAGAACCUCAGUGAGGGUCCUUCAGAAACCCUGUGCAUCACUGCCGGGGAGAGAUUUCUCACUGCUUAAAAGAGGCCAGAAUAAAGUUGUCUGCUUCGAGAGUGUUAAAAAAUAAAAGAAAAAUACACUGCUACUAACACCAGACUUGGGAAGAUGGCUUGCUUCCCAGCUAGUCUUUGUACUGUUUAGGAUUUUAUUUCUUCAACCAGCAAAGCCAACCCACUGGAUCUUCUUUCUGAGUCCCUCUGUGCCCCGUCCCUGGAGCUGUAAGGGGUGAGUGGGGACAAUGCAUCAGGUCCCCUCGUGUCCCAGCAGCUCCUUGUGAGAGUGCUCAGCCUUCCUGGGAGGCAACCCGCAGGCUCAGCCCUAAGACAGAAGAUGAAGUUGUUUUGAAACAGCAGAUGAAUAAUAUUGUCAGGAGUCGAUUAAUGAAAGAAAGUAUCUACAUGCCCGUGCAAGGAGUGCAGGUAAUAGCAAACAGAAUAAGAAACGUUCAUGGGUAAGAAGCAUUACGAAGCAGCAGGGAUAACUGUGGGUGAUUUUCCUGACUAGAAUAUCAGUUAUUGGGAAAACAUGAAAAAGUAAGAAGCAGGGAAGGAAAGAUGCUGGGUAGUUAGAUUUAUGAUUUAUAUCAAAGCUAUUUGUAUUGCAAGGAAGCAAUCAUGUCAAGAGGAGAAAAUAGUUGUUAAAUUCCUCUGGGAGAUGUAUAGCUUGUGCGGGCUCAGAGCCUGCAGCUGAGACUCUAUCCUGAACAACGUUUGUAUGGGCUCAGUGCCCUCACUCAAGCACGGGCAAGGGACAGGGAACCUGCCCCUUAAACCUUUGUCCCUCUGUAUCCAAGACUGAAUGCUUCCACACAGCCAUAAUCUUUGAUCUCUUUGUUACCGUAUCACAAGGCUAUGCCAGACCUUCAGCUCUGUGUGGAGUGCUUGUUAUUAGUGAGUCUUAAUGCGUUAUGGGAGAUACUGACCCAUGAGGCAGGACUGGCCAUAUACCAGCACAGAUCCCACAACUGGAAGAUGGACAAAUAGACUCCAGACCAGGAACACUACAGGCUACUCCAGUUCUCCCAGCACAACUAUUCACAGCGGGUUGUUAGGGACUUCCAUUACUGGAUCAAUUGACCUAACCAGUCCAGGAAAAGGACAGAGAAUUAUGUGAAAUUGGAGGGUUUGUAUAUUAAACAAUCACAAGUGAGACUUCAAAAAAUUGUUACAGGAGAAAGGAGCCCAAAUUCUUCAAGGAGUGUUAUGGAUGGAAGUAGCUGUGUCUCACCAGCUUUUACAAAAUCUUCUGCUGGCCAACACCACUAUUUCUGUUCUUCCUAAGGUAAAAGGAUAGCUUUUAUUUAUGUUUAUCUCAUGCUACUUUAUAUACAUUCAUAACAAAUGCAUUUUAGCACUCAAAAAUGAGUUGCCAGUAUAUCAGAGUAGGACAUAACCUCCGCUUUAUUUUCUUUGUAUUUCUUGCAAAAGAGAAACAAGGAAUGAAUUAGAUUUCACCCUGUUUAUAUCUUUGUUUCCAGCUCUAAUCUUAGCAUCUAUUAAAAGAACAGAGCAAAUGGCUCUGGGAAUUGUUAUAUAUAUAUUUUUUUCUAAUCCGCUGAGGAAAAUAUAGAGCUGACAGUAAGGGAGCAUGAGUGGAUCAAAGCAUCUAUGCUUUCUUAUUGAGGGAGGUUGAGUCACAGCCAACUAAUUUUAUAGUAUAGUCAUAGUUGAUAAUAGAGCAAAUAAUUGGCAGAAAGGGACAAAGGAGACUAUUAAAAAUAAUCUCUGAAAGAUGUUUUCACAUCUGCCUUUUUCAGUAGCUGGACCAGAUCAAAAAAUAACAUACCUGAUUAAUGCAAUGAGUUCUAUCCAAUGCUAAUUCUAAAGAAAAUUUUAAUUAUGAAGUUACAAAUAACAAAAUGUUAGCUUAGCUCGUGUAUAAACUAAUGACUGAUUUUUGUCUCCUUUUUCUCAUCAUAUCAUUAGCCAUAAGAUAAAAUUCUAUGAAAAGUUUGCAUGACAUUCAAACAUCAUCAAGACAUGAUUCUAAACUGAGAUGAGAAACAAGAAGGAGCUGACAUAAGACUCCUUUUUGUAGAGGAAUGCUUUAGUUCAGAUCCUAAAGUAUUAUCUACAUUUGACAUUGUUAGUUAUUAGAACUAUUAAUUCAGGAACUUUGAGAAUCCUCCCUCAUCAUUUUGUAGUCAUCUAGAUCUUAGCCAUAGGCAUUUGCCUCUUGAGAACAGCGAACACAAGCAACUUGAGUAGUUACUUCAAAAAUACAGGAAAAGUAAGACUGCCAGUCUAGAACAUGAAAUAUUAUGCCAUUUCUGAUUUGCAUAAGGAAUGGGGGAAUCUGGGGUAUCCACCAGCCAGUUCAUGGAAGCUGCAAGGGCCGGUGGGAUGCUGAGGUGUGAGCAAGACACUACAUGAGGGACCAUUUACUGAAACUGUCAACACACAAAGCUGCCAAGGGAUAGUUGAGUUGUAAAAUGCUCCAGCUACCACAGGAGAUGCAUUACAUUAUUUCAGUAUGCAGAUAAAUUGCUAUCCAGCUCCUGGAAGCUGCUUUGUGAACAAAAUAGGGGAAUAAGAUAAACUUGCUCUCAAUCGAUGAAUAAUAUAAAACCAGCAAAAGGAGCAGAGCAUACUACUACAAUCCCUCAACUAUAUUAGGCAAUCAAUUUUUCGCCUUUCAAUAUGUAGAAUAUUCCCUUGCGGCUCUCUGUGGAUGCCAUGC